UGGGGUAUAGCUCAGUGGUAGAGUGCAUGCCUAGCAUGCACAAGGUCCUGGAUUCAAUCCCCAGCACUUCCA
rnacentral:tRNA from 1 species